AUUAUUAAAAAAAAAAAACGUCAAAAAUUUUCAUCGAAAAAACGUGUUUUUCUUUAAACAAAUUUUAUCUAAAAUCAAUAAUUUCUCAAUCAAUAUUAAUAAGAACUACAUGUGCAUGGAUUGCCAGUUGGAUUGAUGUUUGUUUUAAGAAGAAAUUUCUCUCAAGUUAAUAUCGAACUUAUAAGGUGUUAAGCUGCAAUUACAAUAAAAGUGCUUGCUAUGGAAUCACCGGUGCUGAUCAUUAUUGUCAACUGUUACUUAAAAUCCAGAUGAACCAACCUUUACUUCCUAUUCAAAUAAGUUUAGAAGAAACCUAUAUAAGCAAUAAAACCAGACCAAGAAUGCUUGAUUACAAACGAUGAACUCAUUUCAUUUGCAAGUUAUGCCAUGACAUAAAUGCAUUAAAUUAGGAAGAUUUGUAUUAGAUGAAUAUUAACUUCUGUUGAUAAGAACAUUUGAUUGGUGGAAUCCAGAUUCUGUGAAUGUACAUGUAAUUGAUUGACAAGUACACAUUUGACAAGGUGGUGAGAAACGUGUAGAUCUGGCCUGCUUACAGUGGCUAUUGGAUUGGACAGAACCAAAGUGAGAGUGAACGUGUGAAUUUAUGGAGAACAUUAAAAACUAUUUUACUAUAUGUCAUAACGCAACUUAUUUUGUAUGAGUUACAUACAAAUGUCAAGCCGUGAGUACAUUAUGUAAAAACUAAAACAAUGUACCUACUGUAAUCACAACAGUAACUGUAAUCUUUUAAAAUCCAAUGGUUUUAAUGCUUAUUGAUUUUCGUAAACAAAAUAUUUCAUGUUAUAUUUCAUCAAUAAAGUUUCAUUUGAUA